GAUGAACGCUGGCGGCGUGCCUAACACAUGCAAGUCGAACGAACAGACGAGGAGCUUGCUACUCUGACGUUAGCUGCGGACGGGUGAGUAACCCGUGGGUAACCUACCUAUUAGACUGGGAUACCCUCGGAAAACCGGAGCUAAUACCGGCCAAUAUUUAUACCCUCUGACAUCAUUAGAGAAAGACUGUUUUGCGUUAACUCUUAGACGGAACCGCGUCGCAUGGGCUAGGUUGUGAGGUAACGGCAUAUCAAGGCAGCGAUGCGUAGCCGACAUGAGAGGGUGGUCGGCCACACGGGAAGUGAGAGACGGUCGAGACUCCGGAGGGAGGCAGCAGUCGGGAAUCUUCCGGAAUGGGCGAAAGGCUGACGGAGCAACGCCGCGUGAGUGAUGAAGGUGUUCGGAUCGUAGAACUAUGUUAUAAGGGAAUAACAAAUGUGUAAUUAAAUGUGCAGGUCUUGACGGUACCAAAUGAGAAAGCCACGGCUAACUACGUG
rnacentral:rRNA from 1 species